GCGAGUUAAUAUCGGCGUGGCUUUCCAGCGAUGGCGAGAACUGAGUGAACUCAAGGGGCUGAAAAGUGACUCCUUGAUGGCUUUAUUUCUGCUGGACAGGUAAAUCUUUCUUUUUGUAUUUUGAUCAUACAUAUUUUUUUGUUUAUUUUUUCAUGAAGCAUGUGUCAUUAGCACACGUAGCUGCGUAAUAUAGCUAACAUAACAUUACUUAGCGAGCCGUAUAUUUUUUUUUUAUUAGUUAUGAGAAAGACAUAUCAACGUCCACACCAUCGAAAAGUGGAUUUACAAUGGCACCACCACCUGUAUCCACUAUUGUCUCGGAGUCGCUUUCUGACCGAGAUGAUGACUUCUCAGUCCCUGGAGUUGAAGAGUUGGAUAGUAGCAGCGUACAGGAUAAAAACAUUCAUUACAUGUGAUUCUGACAUGAUGUCACUACACGCACUGUGCUCCUUCCUCUCCGCUCGUCUCAGGUAAAUAAUGCGUCUUCCAGCUCAGUGGUCGGAGUCGCGCGUUCAUGUGUUUUGGGGGCGUGGCUUUGGAAGGAGCCCAGAAGGGAGGGGGUGGAGUGAAUGGAAAUAAUGAGCUGUCUUUAAAACAGUCGUGAGAGGUCUACAGACACUCGAUUUUUAUACUUUCUUUUUCAGAGUACUUACAUUUUAAUUAUGUAUUGAUAUAUAUAUAAAGUUUAAACAAAUUUGGAAAAAAAGUUUUUUAUACAUUUUUUACCUACCCUGCCUUGAAACCACCUGUGAGAAAACAAAGGAACAAAGUAAACCUCCAGAGUACAGUGACUUAUCAUCCACUCGCAUCUUUAGCCUCACCAAUCGCAUUAUGUACAGUGAGAAAAUAUUUCAAGGGGACAUUAUGUACAUGAUUUUUCUUUCCCCUGAGGUUCCCUUUUAUUUUUAUUGUUAGAAAGUGUUUUAUUGCACCAAAAAUGGCCAGAAUUAAAAUUUUAUGGCUAUCUCCACCAUCUCUCUGACCUUUAGAACUGAACAGGACAAUUUUUUUGCUACUGCUUCUCUAAGACACAUACUGUAGGUAAGCUCUCUCUUCACAUGUGAAUUGAGAUAAGCACUUAAGGGUUGCAGUUUUACUUCUAGUUCUCAUCUAGUCUUUAACUUCAAUAACAGUCUCUUUUCGAAAGUACAAACUGGACUGGGGAGGAAGUUUUGAAUUCUGAGGUACAAUAUGUUUUUAUGGACAGAAUAUUUUUAUUAAAAAAAAAAAUCAAGAAAGUUUCAUUGCUCAUAUUAUGACCAUUAAUAUCUGCA
ensembl:lncRNA